ensembl:lncRNA
GAGAAGAAAGGAGUUUGUCAAACUUGGGAAAGACAAUUUCCUCCUAUCGCCUCAAAAAUCCACUGCAUAAAGCAAGAAUUCUUAAGGGUCAGGCCAGCCCUUACCUUCCCUGAGAAAGAAGGGCACCGUGGGCUCUCAGAAGUUAUGCCCCAGAGGUUAUUACCGCGCCUCUGCCUGGCGUUGGGGGGGGAGGGGGGUGAAAGGAAACAGUUGACAUUUCCGGUCACACUAAGGCUCUCUGGCCUGGGGCCCUGGGCACUAGCUCCCCCUGCCGGCGGGCUGCCAGAGACCAUAUAAACCGAGAUCGGGCCUCCACGCUGCCCGCUCUCUUCUCCCGCGUCAUGAAGCUGAGCAGCCUCUUUGCGCUCACUGUGGUCCUCCUGGUCCUCUGCCUCCACGCGGCGCAGCCUCGUUUGCUGAAGGGUGCGUGUGGGCCGAGGCGGUCCCGUGUGUGGUCGGGGUGGGGGAGCCCUCCCUCGGAGGAGCCCUUGGGACGAGCUGGCCCGGCUGCCUGGCAACGACGCCCUGGUGCCCCCAGCUCACCCUGCGGCAUUUUUCCUCGGCAGUAACGAAACCGGGAGAGUGCCCCGAAUUUUCACUUUCCUGCCCCUUCGUCCUCUUACCUCUGUGCCGGCGCGAUAGAGGCUGCAAGGGCGUCAGGAAGUGUUGUUUCUACAACUGUAGGCGUCGAUGCAUGGAGCCCUUGGGGAGUUUGGAGUGAGGUGAGAAGCGCCCCGUCUCCCCGCUUUGAUCUAGGUGUCCCAGAGCGCGUGGAGAACCCUCAGUGCCCUUAGAAAUCAUUGAGGUCAGAACUUUUAAACUAGGAUCUGCCCUGAAAUCUGCCUCUAGGACAGUAAAGAGAGAGGCCCAACAGACGUCCUUCCUCAGAAACCGCGCCCUUCGUUCCAUGUGAUGGGCAGCGCUCUCCCGUGAAUGAUGGGGACAGUUGGAGGAGGUUAUCUCUGGGCUCCUCAACUGUUGCUGAAUUUUUCUUAUGACAAUUUUCAAUGGCCAUUGCUUCUCUUACAUCUUGUAAGAGUGAAUCGCUUUCCUCUUCACAUUUAAAUUGUCAGGUAGAAACCCCUUCUGAACCAACCCCGAGAAGACACUGAUAGAGCAGGCUCAGAUUGGAUAACUGAUUUCUGGUUCUUCCAUGCUCUCCUCAUCCCCGUCUUCCUUUUAUCCAGAGUUAAAUGCUUAUUAAUAUGAAAACAACACAAAGAAAUAAAGUGUUAUAUAUUUAAAACUACAUGAAAAUCUACGACUGCUGGGUCUCCCCCCCCCACCCCCUUCUCUGUCCUCAGCCUCGAGGGGCAUCCUUUAGGAUUUGUAAAAAAGGAUGGGGUUACUGUUUCACAUUUAGUUUUGAUCAGUUCCUGCACUUCUGUUUUUCUGAUAUGUUUCUCUCUUUCAAUGUCUCCUGACACUCAGAUCCCAGGGGCAUUUUUGAGUCAUGUUUUCUGUGUUGGAUCGUCUGAGAGGUGUAUGUUGUCCUGGGAUAAGGAGGCAAGGCUUUUUGCCACAUGGUCUCUGGCCCCGCUGCUGGUGGCCUUUCUGCUUGUUGGAAUAGUGUGAUCCAGGACUAGAUUUGGGACUUUGGGUUGGCAGUGGAGCAGAACGUGCCUUAGUUCUAGGCUACUUUAAGGUCUAAAAUCUUAGGCCUUCAUAACUCAGGAAAAGGAAGUCUUGUCCACAGCCCAGUUUAGCUACCUUGAGUCUUAGUUCGGGAGCUGAGCCUCUAAGCUACCUACUCGUGAAGCGUUAGCCUUGCACUUUCUCGCUUUCUGCUGUUUGGUUCGGUCUUGCUGAGGGAUCACACAGGGCUUUUAGGUCUGGAGAGUAGUCUUCCAAAAAUUUAUUUUUCCUUGACACAUACAGCUUAAACAAAUUUUUGAAAAACUAUUUAUUCCCUAGGAUGUUUUCAGGUGACAUAUAAUAUUUUUCAUCAUCAUCUACAUAGUUACAAGUGAUAACAUUGUAGGUGUAGGAUGAACAUUGUCAUUUAAAUAAAAAUGGGAGCCUCACUCUUUUUAAUGUUUCUAAUGGAAUCUAAUUAUUAUCUUCAUUGGAUAGUAAUUUCUAUUAGGAAAAAACAUGUUCUUUCUUCUCUGAAUUUUCUUCUGCCUCCCCACUUGCUUUCCCUUCAUUGCCUGCACAGUUCAAACCAAAACAAAUAGGUGAAUGGGUUAGUUUGGUUCCUCUGAAAAGCAGAUGUCAAGACAAGAGUAGGGAAUCAAGGGCUUAUUGGGGAAAAUGCGUGUGAGGGAUAAAGGGGAGAUAGCCAGAGGAGACAAGGAGAACCAUCAGACUGUGAUGCAGGGCUCCCGUGAAGGAGGGGAGGAGGAUGCUCAGAAUACAGUAUGAUUAAGAAAGUGUCAGCCUGGCUGAAAGGGAGUGAUUGAAUUAAAGUCACCCCUCAGAGCAAUCCCCGUCUCCCAGAAUGGGUCAGAGAGGGAAGGAUUCCUGGCUAGCUUGUGGGUGAUCCCCUCUUCCUUUCCUAGGGCAGGAGCUCAAUCAGGUCCUUCAGUGGGCAUCCCAGGAAAGGGAGCCCUGACAAAUAGGGACCAAGUCCUCUGUGAGAGCUUCACCUGACAGUACGUCCGGACCACCCGACAUUGUCCUUGGACUAACCAGCUCUGUCUGCCGCAUUCGCCCUCUCUGUUCCGCUUUGUCUCCCUCCCUUUCUCUCCAUCUCCUUUGUUCUCUCUUUCUUCAUCUCCUUCCCUCUCUGUAUCUAUCUGGUCUCUUUUCAUUUCUGGUACAUUUUAAUUUUUAUUACUGUAUUUUAUACAUUAUAAAAUAUUACUGUAUUUUAUUACAGUAUUCUGCUAUCUCUCUCUCUUUCUCUGUCUGUGUGUCCUUCUGUCUCUGACUCUCAUUUUUGUCAUAAUGGUUUCAUGUGUUUGUUUUUAUUUUCUCCUCUCUCUGUUUCUGUCAUUCUUUGUCUCUGUGUGUCUUUGUCUUUCCUUGGGCCAGAAACACAAGAAUGUAAACCCUACAUACACGUUCCCUCAGGAGCCAGGGACUUCUCAUUGCCUACUUAUCAGGCGUCCUUAGCACUCUCCCCCGCCCGUCUCUGGAUCAUGACUGCUCUCCCACAGCCCUCCUUUUGGUUUCUGGGGACUCCUUUCACUUCCUGGGAAGAUAGUCUAGAGCCUUUGUUAAUUCCACCUACCUUCUUGUCCGUCUCAUCUAUAACCCCCUGUUGCUGCCAGAUCUGUCAGCUGUUGCUGUGCCAGAAUGACCAGCAGAGCUCAGAGCAGUGGCAGUGCUGUCCCAGUGCUUGUUGCAGGAAGUCCAGGAGUCCUGCAAACGUUCUAAAUGUGAAGUCUGAGAAGUGUUCAGUGAAGAAAGGCACUUGUAAGAUGCCCAACCCUUCAAACUAUUGCAAAAAUGAUGCUCAUGCCGAAUGGAUAAAGAAGAUGUGGUACAAAUAUACAAUGGAAUACUACUCAGCUGCAAAACAGAACAAAAUCAUCCCAUUUGCAAUAACAUGGAUGGACCUUGAGGGAAUUAUGUUAAGUGAAAUAAGCCAGCGAGAGAAAGAUAAUCUGUGUAUGACUCCACUCAUAUGAGGAAUUUAAAAUUAUGGACUAAGAACAGUUUAGUGGAUACCAGGGGAAAGGUGGGGUGGGGGGUGGGCACAAAGGGUGAAGUGGUGCACCUACAACAUGACUGACAAACAUUAAUGUACAACUGAAAUUUCACAAGUUUGUAACCUAUCAAUAACUCAAUAAAAAAAAAAGUACCACCA